rnacentral:rRNA from 1 species
UACGUAUGGGGCUAGCGUUGUCCGGAUUUAUUGGGCGUAAAGAGCGUGUAGGCGGCCAGGUAGGUCCGCUGUGAAAGUCCGAGGCUCAACCUCGGAAUGUCGGCGGAAACCCUCUGGCUAGAGUCCGGAAGAGGAGAGUGGAAUUCCCGGUGUAGCGGUGAAAUGCGCAGAUAUCGGGAAGAACACCUAUGGCGAAGGCAGCUCUCUGGGACGGUACUGACGCUGAGACGCGAAAGCGUGGGGAGCGAACAGG